AGCUCUGCUACAUUCCCCCUCUAUGGAUGUGGAGAUGCUGAGGUCCCUCUGCAUUCACCUGGGAGCUUCGCUGGGAGCCAUCUGGGGCUGGACCAUCCGGAUGGGCUCUCACCCCCCAGGGCGCCAUCCACCUGGAUUCUCAGCCUCCAGCAGUUCAACUGACCUUCUCCCACAGCACAAGGCUAGCUUCCAGAGCGGGGGUCCUGGGCGGAGAAGCGCCAACGUGCAAGUGUGUGUCAUUCCUUUACCUGCCCUCUGCUUCCCAAGGUCUCAUCAGCACAAGUGAGCCACGUGGGCACAGACCACAGGGGCGUGAACACCAGGGCGUGUGGUUCACAGGGAGCCACUGAUGUGAGGCUGACCACGAUUAACCAGCUGGAUUAAAAGUCCCUUGAAGACACCUUGCCUGCCGUGUGCACUGUGGUCUCCCCAGUCCUAGGACAUCAUUGGUACAUCUGACCCUCAACCAGCCUCAGAUGCAAUCUGCACUCAGACGAACUCCAUGAAAGCAAGGACUCUAUUCCUCUCUGCCAUCCUAUUAGAGUGUACGUUGCACAAGGACAAAGACUUGGUUUGGU